GCCCUAUGAAGCUUUACUAUAACUUGACAUUGACUUUGGGCUCCUUUUGCGCAGUCUAGGUGGGAAGGCUAUGAUAUCUUGUUUCCGGGCAAGAUGGAGCCGUUUUUGAGAGACCACUCUGAAAGAGCUAAAAUUCUAAUAGUGAUCCUUGAAUCAGGACACUUGACAGUGUCAGGCGGGUAGUUUUUCUGGGGCGGAAUCCUCCUAAAAAGUAACGGAGGUGCGCAAAGGUUCCCUCAGGCUGGACGGAAAUCAGCUGUAGAGUGUAAAGGCAUAAGGGAGCUUGACUGCAAGACCUACAAGUCGAGCAGGGGCGAAAGCCGGCCUUAGUGAUCCGACGGUACCGCGUGGAAGGGCCGUCGCUCAACGGAUAAAAGUUACUCUAGGGUA
rnacentral:rRNA from 1 species